AGCGAACGCUGGCGGCAUGCUUAACACAUGCAAGUCGCACGGGCAGGGCAACCUGUCAGUGGCGGACGGGUGAGUAACGCGUAGGAAUCUAUCUCUGGGUGGGGGACAACCGUGGGAAACUACGGCUAAUACCGCAUGACACCUGAGGGUCAAAGGCGCAAGUCGCCUGGAGAGGAGCCUGCGUCCGAUUAGCUUGUUGGUGGGGUAAUGGCCUACCAAGGCUCCGAUCGGUAGCUGGUCUGAGAGGAUGAUCAGCCACACUGGGACUGAGACACGG
rnacentral:rRNA from 1 species